GCCGGGCGCCGUGGCGCGUGCCUGUAGUCCCAGCUACUCAGGAGGCUGAGGUGGGAGGAACGCUUGAGCCCAAGAGUUCUGGGCUGCACUGCGCUAUGCCGAUUGGGUGUCCGCACUAAGUUCGGCAUCAAUAUGGUGACCUCCUGGGAGCAGGGGACCACCAGGUUGCUUAAGGAGGGGUGAACCGGCUCAGGUCGGAAACGGAACAGGUCAAAACUCCCGUGCUGAUCAGUAGUGGGAUCGCACCUGUGAAUAGCCACUGCACUUCAGCCUGGGCAACAUAGCGAGACCCCGUCUCU
rnacentral:SRP_RNA from 1 species